UUAUUGGGGAAAUAUUGGGAAUUUAUUGGGAAUUUAUUGGGAAAAUAUUGAGAAUUUUUUUGGAAUUUAUUGGGAAUUUAUUGAUCAUUUAUUGGGGAUUUAUUGAGGAUUUAUUGGGGAUUUAUUGGGGAAUUUAUUGGGAAAAUAUUGGGAAUUUUAUUGGAAUUUAUUGGGGAAAUAUUGGGGAUUUAUUGAGGAUUUAUUGGGGAUUUAUUGGGGAAUUUAUUGGGAAUUUAUCGGGGAUUUAUCAGGGAUUUAUUGGGAAUUUAUUGAGAAUUUAUUGGGGAUUUAUUGGGGAAAUAUUGGGGAUUUAUUGGGAAUUAUUGAGGAUUUAUUGGGGAUUUAUUGGGAAUUUAUUGGGAAUUUUAUUGGAAUUUAUUGGGAAUUUAUUGGGGAUUUAUUGGGGGAUUUAUUAAGAAUUUAUUGGGAAUUUUAUUGGGAUUUAUUGGGGAUUUAUUGGAAAAUUAUCGAGGAUUUAUUGGGGAAUUAUUGGGAAUUUAUUGAGGGAUUUAUCAGGAAUUUAUUGGGGAUUUAUUGGGAAUUUAUUGGGAAUUUAUUGAGAAUUUAUUGGGGAUUUAUUGAGGAAUUUAUUGGGAAAAUAUUGGGAAUUUUAUUGGAAUUUAUUGGGAAUUUUUUGAGGAUUUAUUGGGGAAAUAUUGGGAAUUUAUUGGGGAUUUAUUAGGAAUUUGUUGAGAAUUUAUUGGGAAAAUAUUAGGGAUUUAUUGGGGAAUUUAUUGAGGGAUUUAUUGGGGAUUUAUUGAGAAUUUAUUGGGAAUUUAUUGAGGAUUUAUUGGGGAUUUAUUGGGGGAUUUAUUAAGAAUUUAUUGGGAAUUUAUUGAGGAUUUAUUGGGAAUUUAUUGGAAUUUAUUGGGGAUUUCUUAAGAACUUAUUGAGAAUUUAUCAGGGAUUUAUCAGGGAUUUAUUGGGAAUUUAUUGGGGAUUUAUUAGGAAUUUAUUGAGGGAUUUAUUGGGGAUUUAUUGAGGAUUUAUUGGGGAUUUAUUAGGAAUUUAUUGAGAAUUUAUUGGGAAUUUAUCAGGGAUUUAUUGGGAAAAUAUUGGGAAUUUAUUGAGAAUUUAUUGGGGAUUUAUUGGGGAUUUAUUAGGAAUUUAUUGGGGAUUUAUUAGGAAUUUAUUGAGAAUUUAUUGGGAAAAUAUUAGGGGUUUAUUGGGGAAUUUAUUGGGAAUUUAUUGGGGAUUUAUUGAGGAUUUUUUGGGGAUUUAUUGGGAAUUUAUUGGGGAUUUAUCAGGAAUUUAUUGGGGAUUUAUUGGGAAUUUAUUGGGGAUUUAUUGGGAAUUUUUUGGGGAUUUAUUGGGGAUUUAUUGGAAUUUAUUGGGGAUUUUAUUGGGGAUUUCUUAAGAACUUAUUGGGAAUUUAUCGGGGAUUUAUCAGGGAUUUAUUGGGGAUUUAUUGGGGAUUUAUUGGGAAUUUAUUGGGAAUUUAUUGGGGAUUUAUUGGGGGAGCUGUACGUGAUGGCCAUCGAGGACAGGCAGUACAAGGACUAUAAAAUCCACUGUGAGUUAUCAAUUAUUGGUAAUUAAUUGGGAAUUUAUUGGGGAUUUAUUGGGGAAUUUAUUGGGGAUUUAUUGGGAAUUUAUUGGGAAUUUAUUGAGGAUUUAUUGGGGAUUUAUUAAGAAUUUAUUGGGGAUUUAUUGGAGAUUUAUUGGGGAUUUUAUUGGGAUUU
rnacentral:lncRNA from 1 species